rnacentral:rRNA from 1 species
AGAGUUUGAUUAUGGCUCAGGAUGAACGCUAGCUACAGGCUUAACACAUGCAAGUCGAGGGGUAGCAGGGUAGCAAUACCGCUGACGACCGGCGCACGGGUGAGUAACACGUAUCCAACUUCCCAUAACUCAGGGAUAGCCUUUCGAAAGAAAGAUUAAUACCUGAUGGUACCUUUUUCUGGGCAUCCAGUUAAGGUUAAAGAUUUUAUCGGUUAUGGAUGGGGAUGCGUUCCAUUAGAUUGUUGGUGAGGUAACGGCUCACCAAGUCUUCGAUGGAUAGGGGUUCUGAGAGGAAGGUCCCCCACAUUGGUACUGAGACACGGACCAAACUCCUACGGGAGGCAGCAGUGAGGAAUAUUGGUCAAUGGGCGAGAGCCUGAACCAGCCAAGUAGCGUGAAAGGAUGAAGGUCCUAUGGAUUGUAAACUUCUUUUAUAACAGAAUAAAGUGAGCCACGUGUGGUUUUUUGUAUGUAUGUUAUGAAUAAGGAUCGGCUAACUCCGUGCCAGCCGCCGC